GUAGGGAAUAUUGGACAAUGGGGGGAACCCUGAUCCAGCCAUGCCGCGUGGAGGAAGACUGCCCUCUGGGUUGUAAACUCCUUUUAUAUGGGAAGAACCGUCCUCAUUAAUGAGUGACCUGACGGUACCAUAGGAAUAAGCACCGGCUAACUCCGUGCCAGCAGCCGCGGUAAUACGGAGGGUGCAAGCGUUAUCCGGAUUCACUUGGUUUAAAGGGUGCGUAGGCGGAUAAAUAAGUCAGUGGUGAAAUCAACGGGCUCAACCUGUUAACUGCCAUUGAUACUGUGUAUCUUGAAUAUGAGAGAGGUAGGCGGAAUGUUGCAUGUAGCGGUGAAAUGCUUAGAUAUGCUACGGAACACCGAUUGCGAAGGCAGCUUACUAUUUCGUAAUUGACGCUGAGGCACGAAAGCGUGGGUAGCGAACAGGAUUAGAUACCCGAGUAGUCC
rnacentral:rRNA from 1 species